rnacentral:rRNA from 1 species
GACGAACGCUGGCGGCGUGCUUAACACAUGCAAGUCGAACGAUGAAGAAGAGAAACGCGAACUUCGGUUCAAAUUUCACUUCGGAUUAGUGGCAGACGGGUGAGUAACGCGUGAGCAACCUACCUCUUACAAAGGGAUAGCCUCGGGAAACCGUGAUUAAUACCAUAUGACACAUUCAUAAGGCAUCUUAAGAAUGUUAAAGCUACGGCGGUAAGAGAUGGGCUCGCGUCCCAUUAGCUAGUUGGUAAGGUAACGGCCCACCAAGGCGACGAUGGGUAACCGGCCUGAGAGGGUGAACGGUCACAUUGGAACUGAGACACGGUCCAAACUCCUACGGGAGGCAGCAGUGGGGAAUAUUGCACAAUGGAGGGAACUCUGAUGCAGCGACGCCGCGUGAGCGAUGAAGGAAUUCGUUUCGUAAAGCUCUGUUCUAUGGGAAGAAAAGGACUGUACCAUAGGAGAAAGCCCCGGCUAAAUACGUG